UACGUAGGGUCCGAGCGUUGUCCGGAAUUACUGGGCGUAAAGAGCUCGUAGGUGGUUUGUCGCGUUGUUCGUGAAAACUCACAGCUCAACUGUGGGCGUGCGGGCGAUACGGGCAGACUUGAGUACUGCAGGGGAGACUGGAAUUCCUGGUGUAGCGGUGGAAUGCGCAGAUAUCAGGAGGAACACCGGUGGCGAAGGCGGGUCUCUGGGCAGUAACUGACGCUGAGGCACGAAGGCCAGGGGAGCAAACGGG
rnacentral:rRNA from 1 species